AUGAACGCUGGCGGCGUGCCUAAUACAUGCAAGUCGAGCGAACAGACGAGGAGCUUGCUCCUCUGACGUUAGCGGCGGACGGGUGAGUAACACGUGGAUAACCUACCUAUAAGACUGGGAUAACUUCGGGAAACCGGAGCUAAUACCGGAUAAUAUAUUGAACCGCAUGGUUCAAUAGUGAAAGACGGUUUUGCUGUCACUUAUAGAUGGAUCCGCGCCGCAUUAGCUAGUUGGUAAGGUAACGGCUUACCAAGGCAACGAUGCGUAGCCGACCUGAGAGGGUGAUCGGCCACACUGGAACUGAGACACGGUCCAGACUCCUACGGGAGGCAGCAGUAGGGAAUCUUCCGCAAUGGGCGAAAGCCUGACGGAGCAACGCCGCGUGAGUGAUGAAGGUCUUCGGAUCGUAAAACUCUGUUAUUAGGGAAGAACAAAUGUGUAAGUAACUAUGCACGUCUUGACGGUACCUAAUCAGAAAGGCACGGCUAACUACGUG
rnacentral:rRNA from 1 species